GUGCCUACGGGACGCAGCAGUGGGGAAUUUUGGACAAUGGGCGCAAGCCUGAUCCAGCUAUUCCGCGUGUGGGAUGAAGGCCCUCGGGUUGUAAACCACUUUUGUAGAGAAUGAAAAGACACCUUCGAAUAAAGGGUGUUGCUGACGGUACUCUAAGAAUAAGCCCCGGCUAACUACGUGCCAGCAGCCGCGGUAAUACGUAGGGGGCAAGCGUUAUCCGGAAUUAUUGGGCGUAAAGAGUACGUAGGCGGUUCUUUAAGCGCAGGGUUUAAGGCGAUAGC
rnacentral:rRNA from 1 species